UCGGCUUGAGUCGGAUCACUAUUCUCCAGUCUCUCACCGCUUUUGUUCUCCCAUUUCCAUCCAGGCAGCGCUGCUGAAAAGACGGAGCCAGCCGGUUGGGGAAGCCACAAACACGCAAAGUAGCGGACUCGUCUUUCGCAGAGACACCCGGUAGCCACAUGCAAAGCGCCGUCUGCACAGAGGAUACGCGGCACUCCGUAGUUACAUAACUGGACUACUUUUUUUCUAUCAUUGUUGGGGGUUUUUUCACGCUUUUUUUGUUGCACCGAAACUGACUCCCCCCCUCUAAACUCAAAAUGGAGAACGACGACAAAUACCUCCCCGAGCUGCUGGCGGAGAAGGACAGCCUGGACUCGUCGUUUACGCACGCCAUGAAACUUUUAAACGCAGAAAUUGAUAGAAUCCAGAAAGGCGAGACUAAAAAGGAGGCAGAAGCAUACCUGGACCUUUUCACAACAAAGAACAUCAAACUUAAGGAGCGAGUUCUCAUACCUGUCAAACAGUACCCGAAGUUCAAUUUCGUGGGGAAGAUUUUGGGACCUCAGGGCAAUACAAUCAAACGUCUUCAGGAAGAGACUGGAGCCAAGAUCUCUGUGCUCGGCAAGGGAUCCAUGAGAGACAAAGCCAAGGAGGAGGGGCUAAGGAAAGGCGGCGAGCCCAAGUACGCGCACUUGUCUAUGGAGCUGCACGUGUUCAUCGAGGUGUUUGCCCCCGUGCCCGAGGCCUACCUGCGCAUGGCCCACGCCAUGGAGGAGGUCAAGAAGUUCCUGUUUCCUGAUAUGAUGGAUGAUAUCUGCCAAGAGCAGUUCAUGGAAAUGAGUUACCUGAACGGAGGCCAGGAGCACGGAGCCCGAGGCCGAGGGGGCAUGCCGGUCAGGGGCCGCGGAGUCCCCCCUGCUGGAGCACACAGGGGAAGGGGGAUGCCUCCUCGCGGCGCUUCUGCCAGGGGAGGUGUGACUCGAGGCGGCCCAGGCAGGGGUGGCGCAGUGAGGGGUGCACCAGGAGGCCGAGGAGGACUCCCCGCAGCACCCUCCAGGGGAGCUGCGGCACCCCGCGCCAGGCCCCCAGCUGCCGGACCUCCACAGAGGAUGGCGCCUCCACCGCCCCACCAGCACACCCCUGCUACAGCCCCAGAGAGCUACGACGAAUAUGGCUACGAUGAGAGCUACACAGACGCGGCCUACGAGUCAUACGACAGCUAUUACAGUCAGCCGCAGGCAGAGCCAGAAUACUACGACUACGGACACGGAGAGACCACAGACUCAUAUGAGUCAUAUGGCCAGGAUGACUGGAACGGGACCCAGCAAUUAGGCCCAGGGAAGGCCCCUCCCCCCUCCAGAGGUGCCAAGACGCCUUACCGGGAGCACCCAUACCGACAGUACUGAAGCGGACCCGCCACCCUUAACGUGUCGCCCUGACUACCGCCUGUCUACCACGGCAGCUCUUGCUUUAAGCAGCCCGACAAAAGCACAGCUAUCGGUCACUGAGUGCUGGGAGACUGACAGUCCGCUGAAGUGAGACCAUACAGACCUCAGUGAAGCCGUGCACGGGAGCAGCUCAGCAUGAAGGAGGUGGUCGGACGAAGCUCUUGGGGCGCCCCAGUUGAAAAGGAGUGGCCCAAAGCCCAGUUCUGUUCCUGGCAGGAAAGGGGGGCAGGGAUGGGUGGCGGGUGGGUUGUGGUGGCCAGCUGCCAAGUGACCCACAGGAGCCAGCUGAUUUAGUGCCGGGGGGGGGGGGGCUGGCUCAGACUCCCGGACUGAGACUCGCAGCUGGUCAACGAAGACGUUCAGCCCAGUGGAGAUCCAGAAUAACCAGAGACUGACAAACAGUUCUCAUAUUACGUGGACUAUUUUUUUUAUUUUUUUUUAUUAUCUUUUUUUUUACAGUUUCUCCAUUUCAUGUCAAAAUUGAAUUACUGUUCGUUAUCCUUGUGUAAUUAUUUUCUAGCCACGAGUACACCCACUUGAAGCCGUUGCUGAUCACAUGCCGCUGUACACAGUUUCCGCAGACCACCCCCCUCUUCCAACAAAUGUAAUUGUUACAGUCUAAUUUACCAUAAAAUGAGAACUCCUGUUAUAGUAAGCUGUGAAAUUGUUUUUAAUUUCUAUUAACCCUUGAAUUAGAUGUGAAGCGAGCUCUUUACUUUUUGCAAGGCAAGCUGUAUUCGAGGAGGAGGAGAAUCGUCGUGACAUCUGCAUUUCAAGUAUUUUAUUUAUUUAUUUAUUUAUUUAUUUUAAGAUUCUGGCAGCGCGCUGUUUAGCAUCCAUGCCUUAUUGCCGCGUGAAAUUAGACUCAGUGCUCGCAAGUUAAAGAUGCCCACAGAGUGCGGAUCAGUAUCUCACUGUGGUCGAGUUCACUGCGAGCUCACACACAUAAUACACACACACACACACACACACACACACACACACACACACACACGCUGCCACAUCUUGGCGUUGCACUGCCUGUGUAGCCCUGAGGAUAUCAAAUGCUAAUGCAGCAGCGGCCUAUUUGCAUGUACACGCAUGUACCCUCAUUGCAAAUGUGCAACACUUUCAUAACCAAUGCUGGCCUGUUCUCGGCGGUUCAGCAUCCAAGUAUGAUAAUUCAGCGAGAUGGAGCCGUUGGGGGAGCUGCAUGUGAGAAAAGGGACAGCGGGUGAAGACAGACAUUACUAACUUCCCUCUAUCCAUCCAUCCAUCCAUCAUGCCUCUGUUGAUUUGAUUCCCCUCUAUGCCAUUUUCUGCCAUUAUCACUGAUGAUAUUACAGCUGCCUGUGGUGCUGAGUUACAUUUAGAGGUCAAAACUGUACUUUCCUGUAUUAAAAACAAAUUUUUCUGUCCCGAUCUGCUGGUCAGAGGCAGCAUUAGCCAAGUCAGAGGCUCCAUUUAGCUUAUUGAAAAAGCUAGCAGCUUAGAGGAUAGAACAUUAGAAACCCUCAUUUGAGAUGAAAUGUCAACGGGCCAUAUCCAAAACAGAUCAUUUUUCAGCCUUUAUGUCUAAAAUAACGAUUUCUGUGUCUCCUAUAAUCUAAUGAAAGAUAAGUGAUAGUGUGGAAUCCGUCUCCUUUGUUUGAAUCGAUGAACUGUCAAGAGUGUAAGGGUGGAAAAGAAAGUAAAUGUUACUGGGCAAUGAUCAAUAAAAGUAGACUUGAAUAUGA